rnacentral:rRNA from 1 species
AUUGAACGCUGGCGGCAGGCCUAACACAUGCAAGUCGAACGGAUGAAGGGAGCUUGCUCCUGGAUUCAGCGGCGGACGGGUGAGUAAUGCCUAGGAAUCUGCCUGGUAGUGGGGGAUAACGUCCGGAAACGGGCGCUAAUACCGCAUACGUCCUGAGGGAGAAAGUGGGGGAUCUUCGGACCUCACGCUAUCAGAUGAGCCUAGGUCGGAUUAGCUAGUUGGUGGGGUAAAGGCCUACCAAGGCGACGAUCCGUAACUGGUCUGAGAGGAUGAUCAGUCACACUGGAACUGAGACACGGUCCAGACUCCUACGGGAGGCAGCAGUGGGGAAUAUUGGACAAAGGGCGAAAGCCUGAUCCAGCCAUGCCGCGUGUGUGAAGAAGGUCUUCGGAUUGUAAAGCACUUUAAGUUGGGAGGAAGGGCAGUAAGUUAAUACCUUGCUGUUUUGACGUUACCAACAGAAUAAGCACCGGCUAACUUCGUG